rnacentral:rRNA from 1 species
AAGUCGAGGGGCAGCAUGUCCAGCAAUGGAUGAUGGCGACCGGCGGAAGGGUGCGUAACGCGUGAGCAACAUGCCCUAUACAGGGAGAUACACCAGGGAAACUUGGUCUAAUAUCCCAUAGCAUUCAUUGAAGGCAUCUUUAAUGAAUUAAAGCUUCGGUGGUAUAGGAUUGGCUCGCGUGACAUUAGCCAGAUGGUGAGGUAACGGCUCACCAUAGCAAUGAUGUCUAGGGGUUUUGAGAGGAAGGCCCCCCACACUGGGACUGAGACACGGCCCAGACUCCUACGGGAGGCAGCAGUGAGGAAUAUUGGACAAUGGAUGGAAAUCUGAUCCAGCCAUGCCGCGUGCAGGAAGACGGCCUUAUGGGUUGUAAACUGCUUUUAUACGGGAGCAAUAAGGGUUACGAGUAAUCCGAUGAGAGUACUGUAUGAAUAAGGAUCGGCUAACUCCGUGCCAGCAGCCGCGGUAAUACGGAGGAUCCGAGCGUUAUCCGGAAUUAUUGGGUUUAAAGGGUGCGUAGGCGGCCAUUUAAGUCAGCGGUGAAAUUUUGCAGCUUAACUGUAACAGUGCCGUUGAUACUGUUUGGCUAGGAUUUGGUUGUAGUGUGCGGAAUGUGUGGUGUAGCGGUGAAAUGCUUAGAUAUCACACAGAACACCGAUUGCGAAGGCAGCACACUAAGUCAUUAUUGACGCUGAGGCACGAAAGUGUGGGGAUCAAACAGGAUUAGAUACCCUGGUAGUCCACGCCGUAAACGAUGAGUACUAAGUGUCGGGGGAACCUCGGUGCUGAAGCAAAUGUAAUAAGUACUCCGCCUGAGUAGUACGUGCGCAAGCAUGAAACUCAAAGGAAUUGACGGGACCCUGCACAAGCGGUGGAUCAUGUUGUUUAAUUCGAGGAUACGCGAAGAACCUUACCAGGCCUUGACAUCCUCUGCAAAGCUAUAGAGAUAUAGUGGAGGUUAACAGAGAGACAGGUGGUGCACGGUUGUCGUCAGCUCGUGUCGUGAGAUGUUGGGUUAAGUCCCGUAACGAGCGCAACCCUUGUUGCUAGUUGCCAUCAUUAAGUUGGGGACUCUAGCGAGACUGCCAGUGAUAAACUGGAGGAAGGCGGGGAUGACGUCAAAUCAUCAUGCCCCUUAUGGCCUGGGCUACAAACGUGAUACAAUGGCUGAAACAAAGAGAAGCGAAGGGGUGACCUGGGGCGGAACUCAUAAAAGCAGUCUCAGUUCGGAUUGGAGUCUGCAACUCGACUCCAUGAAGUCGGAAUCGCUAGUAAUCGUAGGUCAGCAUACUACGGUGAAUACGUUCUCGGGGUUUGUACACACCGCCCGUCAAACCAGGAAAGUUGGUAAUACCCAACGCCGGUGGCCUAACCU